rnacentral:rRNA from 1 species
UACGAAGGGGGCUAGCGUUGCUCGGAAUUACUGGGUGUAAAGGGAGCGUAGGCGGCCAGUUUAGUCAGAGGUGAAAGCCCAGGGCUCAACCUUGGAAUUGCCUUUGAUACUGAUUGUCUUGAGUAUGGGAGAGGUUAGCGGAACUCCGAGUGUAGAGGUGAAAUUCGUAGAGAUGCGGAAGAACACCAGUGGCGAAGGCGGCUAACUGGCCCAUUACUGACGCUGAGGCUCGAAAGCGUGGGGAGCAAACAGG